GACGGAGGGUGCUAGCGUUGUUCGGAAUUACUGGGCGUAAAGGGCGUGUAGGCGGCUUCGUGUGUCCCAUGUGAAAGCCCUCGGCUCAACCGGGGAACUGCAUGGGAAACUGCGGGCUUGAGUCCGGGAGAGGAGCGUGGAAUUCCUGGUGUAGCGGUGAAAUGCGCAGAUAUCAGGAGGAACACCAGCGGCGAAGGCGGCGCUCUGGGCCGGUACUGACACUGAGGAGCGAAAGCGUGGGUAGCAAACAGG
rnacentral:rRNA from 1 species